rnacentral:rRNA from 1 species
AUUGAACGCUGGCGGCAGGCUUAACACAUGCAAGUCGAGCGGGGGAGGUUGCUUCGGUAACUGACCUAGCGGCGGACGGGUGAGUAAUGCUUAGGAAUCUGCCUAUUAGUGGGGGACAACAUUCCGAAAGGGAUGCUAAUACCGCAUACGCCCUACGGGGGAAAGCAGGGGAUCUUCGGACCUUGCGCUAACAGAUGAGCCUAAGUCGGAUUAGCUAGUUGGUGGGGUAAAGGCCUACCAAGGCGACGAUCUGUAGCGGGUCUGAGAGGAUGAUCCGCCACACUGGGACUGAGACACGGCCCAGACUCCUACGGGAGGCGGCAGUGGGGAAUAUUGGACAAUGGGCGGAAGCCUGAUCCAGCCAUGCCGCGUGUGUGAAGAAGGCCUUUUGGUUGUAAAGCACUUUAAGCGAGGAGGAGGCGCUCUAGGAUAAUACCCUAGAUGCGUGGACGUUACUCGCAGAAUAAGCACCGGCUAACUCUGUGCCAGCAGCCGCGGUAAAAC